AUUGAACGCUGGCGGCAGGCUUAACACAUGCAAGUCGAACGAGUGGCGGGAGGGUUAGUAAUGCUUGGGAAUGUAACUUAUGGAGGGGGUUAGCUAAGGGAAACUAUAACUGCUACCGCGUACCAUAGCAUGAGCCGGAGUGGGUUUAGGUAGUUGGUGAGGUAAAGGAUCACCAAGCCGACGAUCUCUAGCUGGUCUGAGAGGAUGACCAGCCACACUGGGACGGAGACACGGCCCAGACUCCUACGGGAGGCAGCAGUGGGGAAUAUUGCGCAAUGGGGGAAACCUGACGCAGCCAUGCCGCGUGAAUGAAGAAGGCCUUAGGGUUGUAAAGUACUUUCAGUGGGGAGGCGUUACCCGCAGUAUAAGCACCGGCUAACUCCGUGCCAGCCGCCGCGGUAAUAC
rnacentral:rRNA from 1 species